AUACUUCAACAGCACAUAUACUAAAAAUUGAAUGGUACAGAGAAGAUUAGCACGGCCCCUGCCCAAGAAUGACACNCAGAUCUGUGAAGUGUUCCCUGUUUUU
rnacentral:snRNA from 1 species